CCUGGACGGCUGAAAAGUGCUCUCACCGCUGGCCCAGCCACCAUACACGUGCGCUUUCUGAGAAUGCUGAUUUAAGCCAAAUGUUUUGACUUUCCGUGCAACUGCAGACAAUUUGGAGGCUGUCGAAUAGUUGUAAGAACCGAUGUGUGCCUAGCUGCGAAUUAUCUGGGCUGUCUCUUCUGGAAGUCAAAUCGUUAAACAGCCGUCAUGUUACAAUAGGAACAAAUAUUCUCAUGAACCGUUGCACCAGAUAAAGUAAAGCAGGUAAUGGCCAGGUUUUUCAAGCUUUCAGUGGUUUAAUAAAGGAUUUAUGGAGCACUGAGUACCUGUGUGUGUGAGCAAGGUGGAGAACAGGCUCCUCGGUGCUAUGGAUACUGCAUUAACCUGGUAGCUAAGGGCCUGUCACAACUCCUGCCGAAGGUAAACAGAUGAUAAUUGUGGGAGGGGAAACACAUCAGCAUCAUACUUCAUGGAUAAUGGUGAAAUUAGGCCAUCUGUUGCAGAAAGGCUCUGUUUAUUUUUUACACGAUCCUUAAUUUGCUUUCAUAUGUUCAAGUUUGUUGAUGUUUUUAGGUGAGUGUUUAAUGGUGGCUGCAUGGCAGUUAGCAGUUGAACAGUGCAAAUUUAGUGCUAAGUACUUGGUAAUGAAAAUCUUAAUCAUUAGCUGAUUAAAACUUUAAGCUGAAGGUGGCUGGAGGAGAUCUGUCUGCAGUGAUAAAGGUACCUUAACUUGUUUUACAGCCUUUCUGUGGAAAAAAAAAAUACUAUCUUUAAGGUGUUAGACAAACAAGAUUUAGUUUCCCAAUGUCAGUGUUUACAGCACUAAAGAGAAAGAUAAAGUGCCAUUACAUUUUAAAAUAGCUAAUUUGGAUUAGAAGCUGUGACAGCUUUAUCCAGCUUCCUUUCUAAAGUUCAGUUAAAUUCAGUCACAGAAAAACUAAAGAUCCUUUCUAAUUAAAAAUAGAGACACCAGUAUCAAUACAAAUAAAUAGAAGUACAAGUAUGUGAAUCCUGUUGUUUAUGUAAGAGAAUAUACAGGCUUGCUUUUCUUCAUAGCUGAACAAUAAAUCUAACACACUGAAAGUACAUAGCAUGGGUGUUUUCUGUUCCCCUCCCC